UGUUUUAAUAGUUUAAGUAAAAACAUUAAUUUUGUAAAUUAAAGUUAGAGCAAUCUUUAAUACAUC
rnacentral:tRNA from 1 species